GCGGCAAAGCUCAAAUUUGAAAUCUGGCGUCUUUGGCGUCCGAGUUGUAAUUUGAAGAAGGUAUCUUUGGGCCCGGCUCUUGUCUAUGUUCCUUGGAACAGGACGUCACAGAGGGUGAGAAUCCCGUGCGAUGAGAUGACCCGGGUCUGUGUAAAGUUCCUUCGACGAGUCGAGUUGUUUGGGAAUGCAGCUCUAAGUGGGUGGUAAAUUCCAUCUAAAGCUAAAUAUUGGCGAGAGACCGAUAGCGAACAAGUACAGUGAUGGAAAGAUGAAAAGAACUUUGAAAAGAGAGUGAAAAAGUACGUGAAAUUGUUGAAAGGGAAGGGCUUGAGAUCAGACUUGGUAUUUUGCAUGCUGCUCUCUCGGGGGCGGCCGCUGCGGUUUACCGGGCCAGCAUCGGUUUGGAGCGGCAGGAUAAUGGCGGAGGAAUGUGGCACGGCUUCUGCUGUGUGUUAUAGCCUCUGACGAUACUGCCAGCCUAGACCGAGGACUGCGGUUUUUACCUAGGAUGUUGGCAUAAUGAUCUUAAGUCGCCCGUCUUG
rnacentral:rRNA from 1 species